rnacentral:misc_RNA from 1 species
AAAGUCGUAACAAGGUUUCCGUAGGUGAACCUGCGGAAGGAUCAUUAACACGUAUCCACGUAUCAACCCCUCUGCGCACAACAGCCGUUGAGGCUGGUCUAGUAUGUCCGCUCGUCAUGGGAUCUUAAUGAUGGGAGCCCUUCGGGGCUCGGGAUCUCGAGUGGGCAUGCGUUUUGACGAUCAGCCGAUAUUUUUCCAUCGUUAGCCCUUUUUAAAAAAUUUAACCCCUUUGUACUUCUUUUGUACUGAACCAAUUCUUCGAGUUUGCAUCCUCCAAAAAAGGAAGCGAGCACGAAAGAUAUUACGAAACUAAAGAACAACUCUUAGCAACGGAUAUCUUGGUUCCC